AGUGAACGCUGGCGGUAGGCCUAAUACAUGCAAGUCGAACGGCAGCACAGUAAGAGCUUGCUCUUACGGGUGGCGAGUGGCGGACGGGUGAGGAAUACAUCGGAAUCUACUUUUUCGUGGGGGAUAACGUAAGGGAACUUCCGCUAAUACCUCAUACGACCUACGGGUUAAAGCAGGGGAUAUUCGGACCUUGCGCGAUUGAAUGAGCCGAUGUCGGAUUAGCUAGUUGGCGGGGUAAAGGCCCACCAAGGUGACGAUCCGUAGCUGACCUGAGAGGAUGAUCAGCCACACUGGAACUGAGACACGGUCCAGACUCCUACGGGAGGCAGCAGUGGGGAAUAUUGGGCAAUGGGCGCAAGCCUGAUCCAGCCAUACCGCGUGGGUGAAGAAGGCCUUCGGGUUGUAAAGCCCUUUUGUUGGGAAAGAAAAGCAGUGGAUUAAUACCCCGCUGUUCUGACGGUACCCAAACAAUAAGCACCGGCUAACUUCGUG
rnacentral:rRNA from 1 species